CUAAGGAUAUUACGGAAUGACCAUUAGGUCAUGGAAUAACGGAGACAUAUUGUAUUCAGUUUUGAAUGUUUAUAACAUUCAACUUAAGAAUGGGCCUAUAGCUCAGCUGGUUAGAGCGCACGCCUGAUAAGCGUGAGGUCGAUGGUUCGAGUCCAUUUAGGCCCACCAUUUUUAAUUGCACAUUGAAAACUAGAUAAGUAAGCAAUAGAUUUCACCAAGCAAAAAACCGAGUGAAUUUCUAACGAAAUUCAACAAGCUUAAUAAUCGCGCGUCGUCUUUAUAGACGACAUCACAGAUUAAUAACAGUUAUUUUCUUAAACGUUAUGUAUAAGGAAAUAUA
rnacentral:misc_RNA from 1 species